GCAGCGGUAGUUCAGUUGGUUAGAAUACCGGCCUGUCACGCCGGGGGUCGCGAGUUCGAGUCCCGUCCGCUGCGCCA
rnacentral:tRNA from 1 species